UACAAAUUAUUCACAAUGAUGAAGACAUUACUGAGCCUCUUUAUAGCAGUGAUAUGGUUAUCAGGUGUCCAGUCUGCAGAACAACUUACCCAGUCUGACCCAGUGGUGAUAAAGCCGGGGAACUCCCACACACUGACCUGCAAAGCUUCUGGAUUCACUUUCACUAGCCACUGGAUGAGCUGGGCGAGAGAAAUUGGAGGAAAAUUACAAUGGAUAGGUGAUAUAAAUGCGGGUUCCAGUACCAUACGCUAUCAUGAUGAUUUUAAAGGAAGAUUCACAAUCUCCAGAGAUAACAGUAAUAACAUGCUAAAUCUGAAAAUGGACAACAUGAAAACUGAAGACACUGCCGUGUAUUACUGUGCAAGAUACACACAGUGA